CCUGAGAGGGUGACCGGCCACACUGGGACUGAGACACGGCCCAGACUCCUACGGGAGGCAGCAGUGGGGAAUAUUGCACACGCAAGCCCCUGAUGCAGCACGCCGCGUGAGUGAUGACGGCCUUCGGGUUGUAAACCUCUUUCUCAGGGACGAAA
rnacentral:rRNA from 1 species